AUAUGUUGUCAUUUCCAAGCUUGUCUCAAGAAGAUAAAGAUUCUAAGAAAAGUUUAUUCUUCCAUGACCUGCUGGCCUAGAGCCAGGAUAGGACCUGAGGUUCAGUUUCUACGGUCAGGGGAUUAUGUAUUAAAAUUCUACUGUUUGUUCCGUAGCAGACGCUGCUUCCUUUUCCGGAGAAAUACUGCCUGCUGUUGUAAGCAACCACUACGGAUUUCUCAGAAGUACUGUGGCAAAUAAAAAUGAUUGAGAAUCAUUACUCUGUACAUUUUCUAUUCUACUAGAGAGACAGUUUAAAAUAAAACAAUAGGUUUUAGGUCUUUGCUUCUUAGAAUGCUAAGACCACCAUGCAGUGGAAAAGCUCCAUCCACCAUAAGAAGAUGAGAAGCCAUGUGGAGAACUAAGACUUUUCAGCCAAUAGCCAGCACCAACUGCCAGACACAUGAGUGAGGCCAUCUUGAACCCUCCAACCCUAGUGUAUUCAGGGUUCUCCAGAGAAACAGAACCAACAGGAUGUGUGUGUGCAUGUGUAUGUUUAUAAAGAUAUUUAUUUUAA